GUUGACGAACAUUCGGACAAUGAAGAUAGAUAACUGAAACGUUAUAUAGAAGUGAACAUAAAGGACGUUAAUUAAGUCGUAUUUGUUAGUAUUCAUUGACAUUGCUAAUCCCUCUAUUUAUUGUCUCUAUUAAGUGGAAUCGAAUGCGUUGCAUUCGGGAGGGGGAUGUUAACGAACGAUAUUAUUAUAUGAAGUACUUGUUAUCAUGACCGCUGAAAUAGUCGCGCGGGCGACAAAACGUUGUUUGAACGUUCUAGUUUAUAUUUUUCGACUACAAAAAGUACUAGUGUGACAAUAUUUAGGCUAUUUUUUGUGUUUAAAGACUCGGAAUAAAGUGGCGAAUUAUCUCGUGUAGACAUUUUAUAGACAGUUCAAUUAAUCGGGAACAGUGUGAUACUGAUGAUGGUGGUGAUAAUGAUGGUGGUGGUGAUAAUGAUGAUAAUGAUGAUGAUGGUGGUAAUAAUGAUGAUGGUGGUGAUAAUGAUGAUGGUGGUGAUAAUGAUGAUGGUGGUGGUGAUCAUCUGAGCAAUGGUGGCGAUGAUGGUGGCGGUAGUG